GACGAACGCUGGCGGCGUGCUUAACACAUGCAAGUCGAACGGAAAGGCCCUGCUUUUGUGGGGUGCUCGAGUGGCGAACGGGUGAGUAACACGUGAGUAACCUGCCCUUGACUUUGGGAUAACUUCAGGAAACUGGGGCUAAUACCGGAUAGGAGCUCCUGCUGCAUGGUGGGGGUUGGAAAGUUUCGGCGGUUGGGGAUGGACUCGCGGCUUAUCAGCUUGUUGGUGGGGUAGUGGCUUACCAAGGCUUUGACGGGUAGCCGGCCUGAGAGGGUGACCGGCCACAUUGGGACUGAGAUACGGCCCAGACUCCUACGGGAGGCAGCAGUGGGGAAUAUUGCACAAUGGGCGGAAGCCUGAGGCAGCAACGCCGCGUGCGGGAUGACGGCCUUCGGGUUGUGAACCGCUUUCGCCUGUGACGAAGCGUGAGUGACGGUAAUGGGUAAAGAAGCACCGGCUAACUACGUG
rnacentral:rRNA from 1 species